UGGGGUCACUCCAAGGUCAGCCUGAGCAAGCCGGGGGAGGAGGGCAGCCCUCCCAGCCCUGCAUCCAAGCCCAUGGGCUGAUGUGCCUGGGCAGCACCCGAGCCUUCUGCAAUAGGCAGAUAGAACGGGGGACUUCCUGGGCCUGCUGGAAGUCAGCACAGAUUAUCCCACGUGGCGGAGAAAGACUGGAGACCGUGGGAGCAGGUGGGGGGGCGGGACUGUGCGCCCAGCUCUCUGACGUCCAUCAGCAGGUGGAGCUGGCUUUGGAGAACUACUCUGACUUUGCUCCAACCCUCCCAAGGGUGGAGGGCUGCCCACCCCCUGUGGCAGGUAGACCUGAGACCAGGGGAAAGGGGAGCCGCUGAGAUCCCCCCCCGGCGGGCCACACUCCCCGAUGAGCCGACAAAGCGCACACAGCCACCUGCCCAUGGCACAAGGGGUGUCACGCUGUCACCAGCGCCUCCACUUUCGGGGAAGCUCCAGGUCGCACCGCAGACCCGACGCAGGCCCCAGGGAGGGCAGGGAGUGCAGGAGGGCGAGCUGCUGGUCCCGGGCCACGCUGCCACAGAUGGGGGACAGCCCUGAGGGAGUAUGUGAUCCCGUGGUCAGGGCCAGGGCCUCAUCUCCAUGGGGCUCACACAGACAAGGGGAAGGACUGCACACGUAGCUGGGCGUCCUUAGAGGGCUCGACCUGGCUCUCAGAACAUGCAAGGCAGAAGCUGAGACAAUCCUGGUUUAUCAUCCCUUGGAACAAGAAGUCUCCACGUAGGAAAGUUCUAGAUCAGCUCAUUCGGGGCAAGGCAACAGCCACAGGAUGUCAGCAAACAUCCAGGAGCCUUCCCUGUCUCCGCCCUGCCAGUCUCUGUGUGGUGACCGUAUCUUCCCUCGUGGUCCCAAGCUGGCUGCUGUGGCACCCUUUGAUGAAUCUGUGGUCUGGAAGCUAAGGCAGCACAGGUUAACAGCUGCAUCUAACUUUCCAUGAGUUCAUCAUUACGAUCACCAACUUCCCAACCAGAGCGCCGGGCCUCACUGCCCGCUGCCCACCGGCCCUCCUGCAGACAGUUCCACAGUCUGAGGUUCUGCUAGUGGCCACACCUCCAUUCCAGGAAAUAAAUUUCCAGUCAUCUACAAAUAUCAGGAAAUCUGAGUAAAACAAAAAGGGGGUGAUUUUCCCAUACAGAGUAGGUUGAACGAUGCCCCCUAAAACUUCAUGUCUGCCAGGAACCUCACAGUGCAACUUUAUUUGGAAAUGGGGUCAUCAGAGAGGGCCCUGAUCUGGUGUGACGUGUCCAUGUGAAAGGAGGCGUCUGGACCCAGACCUGCACUCCGCGGAUUGCUGGCAGCACCAGGAGCUAGUGAGAGGCCCAGAAGAGGCCUUCCUCACAGCCUCAGAGGGAGCCAACUCCACAGACACCUUGGCUCCGGAACGGGCCCUAGGAAACUCACACACCGCAAGAAACCCAGAGAUACAGAGGAUCUGAGCGCGUACUGAGACUGUCAGUCGUGUCCGACUCUUUUGUGACCCCGUGGACUGCAGCCCGCCAGGCUCCGGUGUCCAUGGGAUU